rnacentral:rRNA from 1 species
CACGUGGAUAAUCUGCCCUUUACACAGACAUAACUCAGGGAAACUUGAGCUAAUAUCUGAUGAGGCCUCCGGGUCAAAGCUACGGCGGUAAAGGAUGAGUCUGCGUCUGAUUAGCUAGUUGGUAAGGUAAUGGCUUACCAAGGCGACGAUCAGUAACUGGUCUGAGAGGACGAUCAGUCACACUGGAACUGAGACACGGUCCAGACUCCUACGGGAGGCAGCAGUGAGGAAUUUUGGACAAUGGGGGAAACCCUGAUCCAGCGACGCCGCGUGUGGGAUGAAGGGGUUAUGCCCUGUAAACCACUGUCAGCAGAGAAGAAAAGGCUCUUUUAGAGCCCGGGACUGUAUCUGCAGAGGAAGGACCGGCUAACUACGUG